rnacentral:misc_RNA from 1 species
UGCCGCCAUUUCUCUUUAAUCUAGUCUCUGUAUAGACACGCUCAUUUUGUUAUACUAUUAAUUUCUCGAAAAUUUCAGAUAAUCAAAAGGGUUUAUUUUGCAACAGAUUUAGGUAAUUGAAUUUUUUUUUUUUUUGGGAAAAAAAGAGAAUACAACCAGAUGGAUAAGAAAAGGGUGGCGGUUCCACUUGUGUGCCAUGGUCA